rnacentral:rRNA from 1 species
GACGAACGCUGGCGGGCGGUGCCUAAUACAUGCAAGUCGAGCGGACAGAUGGGAGCUUGCUCCCUGAUGUUAGCGGCGGACGGGUGAGUAACACGUGGGUAACCUGCCUGUAAGACUGGGAUAACUCCGGGAAACCGGGGCUAAUACCGGAUGGUUGUUUGAACCGCAUGGUUCAAACAUAAAAGGUGGCUUCGGCUACCACUUACAGAUGGACCCGCGGCGCAUUAGCUAGUUGGUGAGGUAACGGCUCACCAAGGCAACGAUGCGUAGCCGACCUGAGAGGGUGAUCGGCCACACUGGGACUGAGACACGGCCCAGACUCCUACGGGAGGCAGCAGUAGGGAAUCUUCCGCAAUGGACGAAAGUCUGACGGAGCAACGCCGCGUGAGUGAUGAAGGUUUUCGGAUCGUAAAGCUCUGUUGUUAGGGAAGAACAAGUACCGUUCGAAUAGGGCGGUACCUUGACGGUACCUAACCAGAAAGCCACGGCUAACUACGUGCCAGCAGCCGCGGUAAUACGUAGGUGGCAAGCGUUGUCCGGAAUUAUUGGGCGUAAAGGGCUCGCAGGCGGUUUCUUAAGUCUGAUGUGAAAGCCCCCGGCUCAACCGGGGAGGGUCAUUGGAAACUGGGGAACUUGAGUGCAGAAGAGGAGAGUGGAAUUCCACGUGUAGCGGUGAAAUGCGUAGAGAUGUGGAGGAACACCAGUGGCGAAGGCGACUCUCUGGUCUGUAACUGACGCUGAGGAGCGAAAGCGUGGGGAGCGAACAGGAUUAGAUACCCUGGUAGUCCACGCCGUAAACGAUGAGUGCUAAGUGUUAGGGGGUUUCCGCCCCUUAGUGC